rnacentral:rRNA from 1 species
UACAGAGGUCCCAAGCGUUGUUCGGAUUCAUUGGGCGUAAAGGGUGCGUAGGUGGCGCCGUAAGUCAGGUGUGAAAUCUCGGGGCUUAACUCCGAAACUGCAUUUGAUACUGCGGUGCUUGAGGACUGGAGAGGAGACUGGAAUUUACGGUGUAGCAGUGAAAUGCGUAGAGAUCGUAAGGAAGACCAGUGGCGAAGGCGAGUUUCUGGACAGUUACUGACGCUGAGGCACGAAGGCCAGGGGAGCAAACGGG